CGGGCGCAAGCUCGCACCUGAAGAUGAGCCUGCGCAGCAUUAGCUAGUUGGUGAGGUAACGGCUCACCAAGGCGACGAUGCUUAGCUGGUCUGAGAGGAUGAUCAGCCACACUGGAACUGAAACACGGUCCAGACACCUACGGGUGGCAGCAGUGGGGAAUCUUGCGCAAUGGACGAAAGUCUGACGCAGCGACGCCGCGUGGGCGAUGAAGGCCUUCGGGUCGUAAAGCCCUGUCAGCAGGGAGUAAGGUCGGUGACCUAACACGUCAUCGAAUUGAACGUACCUGCAGAGGAAGCACCGGCUAACUCUGUGCCAGCAGCCGCGGUAAUACAGAGGGUGCAAGCGUUGUUCGAAAUCAUUGGGCGUAAAGCGCAUGUAGGCGGCGCGACAAGUCUGAUGUGAAAUUCCUCGGCUCAACCGGGGAGGGUCAUUGGAUACUGUCGUGCUCGAGUGCCGGAGAGGGUGAUAGAAUUCCUGGUGUAGUGGUGAAAUACGUUGAUAUCAGGAGGAAUACCAGAGGCGAAGGCGGUCACCUGGACGGUCACUGACGCUGAGAUGCGAAGGUAUGGGUAGCAAACAGGAUUAGAU
rnacentral:rRNA from 1 species